CUCCUACAAUGAUGCGUCCAUCUCUUCCGGCUGCUCCAUUGGGAUCGAUGCCUACUACGAAGACGCUCAUUCUUGAGCGAUCCCUGUUCCCUGCCAGACUCAGGCCUAAACCACUUCUGCCCUUCUCCAGCUCGAUCAUAUGCAACGCACCUGGCAGACUCCCAUAACGCUCCACCACCUUUUCUGCUUGCACACAAGACUCACUGGACUCAGGUGGAGACUAUAGAGCUGGUCAAUGAUGGCACUGGUCUGGGUUUCGGCAUCGUCGGGGGUAAAACUACCGGGGUCAUUGUCAAGACCAUUCUACCUGGUGGUAUUGCUGAUAAGGAUGGUCGCUUGCGCAGUGGUGAUCACAUCCUGCGUAUCGGGGACACUGACCUAUACGGUUUGGGCAGUGAGCAGGUUGCUCAGGUGUUGCGGCAGUGUGGCAACAGAGUCAAACUACUCAUCACCAGAGCAGCCGUGGAUGAUGCGUCCCCUGGACCUGUAACCCUGCCAACAGUCACUGAGC